UACGUAGGGGGCAAGCGUUAUCCGGAUUUACUGGGUGUAAAGGGGGCGCAGACGGCGAUGCAAGCCAGGAGUGAAAGCCCGGGGCCCAACCCCGGGACUGCUCUUGGAACUGCGUGGCUGGAGUGCAGGAGGGGCAGGCGGAAUUCCUGGUGUAGCGGUGAAAUGCGUAGAUAUCAGGAGGAACACCGGUGGCGAAGGCGGCAUGCUGGACUGCAACUGACGUUGAGGCCCGAAAGCGUGGGGAGCAAACAGG
rnacentral:rRNA from 1 species